GAUGGACGCUGGCGGCGUGCCUAAUACAUGCAAGUCGAGCGAACGGACGAGAAGCUUGCUUUUCUGAUGUUAGCGGCGGACGGGUGAGUAACACGUGGAUAACCUACCUAUAAGACUGGGAUAACUUCGGGAAACCGGAGCUAAUACCGGAUAAUAUUUUGAACCGCAUGGUUCAAAAGUGAAAGACGGUCUUGCUGUCACUUAUAGAUGGAUCCGCGCUGCAUUAGCUAGUUGGUAAGGUAACGGCUUACCAAGGCAACGAUGCAUAGCCGACCUGAGAGGGUGAUCGGCCACACUGGAACUGAGACACGGUCCAGACUCCUACGGGAGGCAGCAGUAGGGAAUCUUCCGCAAUGGGCGAAAGCCUGACGGAGCAACGCCGCGUGAGUGAUGAAGGUCUUCGGAUCGUAAAACUCUGUUAUUAGGGAAGAACAUAUGUGUAAGUAACUGUGCACAUCUCGACGGUACCUAAUCAGAAAGCCACGGCUAACUACGUG
rnacentral:rRNA from 1 species